AUACGUAGGGGGCAAGCGUUAUCCGGAUUUACUGGGCGUAAAGGGCGCGUAGGCGGCGCUUCAAGUCGUCUGUCAAAUGGGAGGGCUUAACCCUUUUUCGCAGACGAAACUGGAGAGCUUGAGAAGCAGAGAGGCAAACAGAAUCCCUGGUGUAGCGGUGAAAUGCGUAUAUAUCAGGAAGGAUACCAGCGGCGAAGGCGGUUUGCUGUCUGCAUACAGACGCUGUAGCGUGAAAGCCAGGGGAGCAAACGGGAUUAGAUACCUCGGUAGUCCUGGCCGUAAACGAUGAAUGCUAGGUGUGGGUGUCGAGAGGCAUCCGUGCCGGAGUUAACGCGAUAAGCAUUCCGCCUGGGGAGUACGAUCGCAAGAUUGAAACUCAAAUGAAUUGACGGGG
rnacentral:rRNA from 1 species